AAAGCUAACAGGUCCAGCUAA
rnacentral:siRNA from 1 species